CCCUUAGAUGUUCUGGGCCGCACGCGCGCUACACUGACGAAGUCAGCGAGCAUGUCCUACGCCGACAGGUGCGGGGAAUCUUGUCAAACUUCGUCGUGAUGGGGAUUGAUUAUUGAAAUUCUUGAUCAUCAACGAGGAAUUCCUAGUAAGCGCAAGUCAGCAGCUUGCGUUGAUUACGUCCCUGCCCUUUGUACACACCGCCCGUCGCUACUACCGAUUGAAUGGUUUAGUGAGAUCUUCGGAUUGGCGACACUGCGGCUCAGCAAUGGGCUCGGUGGAUGCCGAAAAGUUGAUCAAACUUGAUCAUUUAGAGGAAGUAAAAGUCGUAACA
rnacentral:rRNA from 1 species